rnacentral:rRNA from 1 species
GAUUGAACGCUGGCGGCAGGCCUAACACAUGCAAGUCGAGCGGAUGAAGGGAGCUUGCUCCUGGAUUCAGCGGCGGACGGGUGAGUAAUGCCUAGGAAUCUGCCUGGUAGUGGGGGAUAACGUCCGGAAACGGGCGCUAAUACCGCAUACGUCCUGAGGGAGAAAGUGGGGGAUCUUCGGACCUCACGCUAUCAGAUGAGCCUAGGUCGGAUUAGCUAGUUGGUGGGGUAAAGGCCUACCAAGGCGACGAUCCGUAACUGGUCUGAGAGGAUGAUCAGUCACACUGGAACUGAGACACGGUCCAGACUCCUACGGGAGGCAGCAGUGGGGAAUAUUGGACAAUGGGCGAAAGCCUGAUCCAGCCAUGCCGCGUGUGUGAAGAAGGUCUUCGGAUUGUAAAGCACUUUAAGUUGGGAGGAAGGGCAGUAAGUUAAUACCUUGCUGUUUUGACGUUACCAACAGAAUAAGCACCGGCUAACUUCGUGCCAGCAGCCGCGGUAAUACGAAGGGUGCAAGCGUUAAUCGGAAUUACUGGGCGUAAAGCGCGCGUAGGUGGUUCAGCAAGUUGGAUGUGAAAUCCCCGGGCUCAACCUGGGAACUGCAUCCAAAACUACUGAGCUAGAGUACGGUAGAGGGUGGUGGAAUUUCCUGUGUAGCGGUGAAAUGCGUAGAUAUAGGAAGGAACACCAGUGGCGAAGGCGACCACCUGGACUGAUACUGACACUGAGGUGCGAAAGCGUGGGGAGCAAACAGGAUUAGAUACCCUGGUAGUCCACGCCGUAAACGAUGUCGACUAGCCGUUGGGAUCCUUGAGAUCUUAGUGGCGCAGCUAACGCGAUAAGUCGACCGCCUGGGGAGUACGGCCGCAAGGUUAAAACUCAAAGGAAUUGACGGC